ACUUCUUGGCAAAUUCAAAUAUGGCGGGCAAUACAGACGACAGUAAUCAGCUGGUAGAGCCAUCUGUCGGUAGGUCCGGUAGUUGAGCAUCCCUCAUUUCGCUAGCUUUAGACGCCUGUUCUGGCAGAUCAAUAGCGUUAGUUUGUUCUUCCGCAUUUAUUAUCUUAGUGCACAAGAGAGUAGCGUAUUGCGAAGUUACUGCGAAUUUUUGUUUUUGCGAAAAGUGGUACAUUACGUUCUUCAGACGUGUACAGUGGCAGCCAUGGAUGACAUGAAUACUAACUGGAUAAAACAAGAGAUAACAGAUGAGGUACCUUCUGAGCCGGACCCUAUGGUUCUCGAAGAUCCAGAGGGGAACUCCUGCCCCAUGGACUUUAUCAAAGAGGAUCCUGAACUGCAUGUGGAUGAAACUGAGAAUACUGUUCUCGAAGAUCCAGAGGGGAACUCCUGCCCCACGGACUUUAUCAAAGAGGAUCCUGAACUGCAUGUGGAUGAAACUGAGAAUACUGUGUUAGCCUCAAUGAGAUGUGCUUCUGAUAGUGUAAGGUUGGUUCAUAGUAUGGGUGAGAGCUGUGGCAUUUCAUUUGAAGAAACUGUUCAUGAAGGAGUAAUCCAUGACAAGCUGGAGAGAGGUGCAGAGGACACAGUACCUGUCUACAUAUGUGGUACCCAUACACAAGGAUUGACUUUGCAAGAGGAUAGCUCAUUCAGCACCAGACACAAUUGUAGUUUGAGUGAAAUGGAAUUGCAUGAAUUUAGUUGCAGUUUCUGCUUACAGAUAUUUCCUUCAAAAUACAGGCUUAUAAUGCAUAUCUUCACGCACAUUGAUGGUGUACAGCCACCUAUAUUUGUUUGUAGGUCAUGUGGGGAGGUAUUUUCCAGUAAAUCUAGCUUGAACAAACAUUUAAAAGGGAGUGGAGGAGAUGAAGCCUUAUCUGCUGGCAAUAGAGAGAUAGUUGACAGCUGUGAUGAGCAUGAAAACAUUAUCUUGGAAGAUGAUAAAGCAGUUUCUGUAACAGAACAAGCUGAGAAGCAGUUUUCACACAAUGAAACUUUGAAAACUUCAAAGAAUUCCAUGAAAGACGUAUGUGACACACUCAGUAUAACACAUGGUGCAGAGAGACAAGACAAAAGUGAUAGUUAUGGAACUUUAUGUACAGCAGAUAAUGCCAGUACUGAUGCUGCUGUAGUUACUGUAAAGAGACCCCACAAAUGUGAUAUCUGUGGCAAAUCUUUCAUUGAAUUGCGUUAUUUGAAGAUACAUUCGUUGAUUCACACUGGAGAGAGACAGUACAGAUGUGAUAUUUGUGGCAAAUCUUUUAUUCAGUCGGGUCAUCUCAGCAGUCAUACAUUAAUACAUUCUGGAAAGAAACCACACAAAUGUGACAUUUGUGACAAAUCUUUUAUUGAGUUGCGCUAUCUCAAGAGGCAUUCUUUGGUUCACACUGGCAAGAAACUAAACAAAUGUGAUAUUUGUGGCAAAUCUUUUACACACUUGCGUAAUCUGAAGAGGCAUGAAUUACUACACGCUGGAUAUAGGCCUCAUAAAUGUGAUAUUUGUGGCAAAUGUUUUGCUCAGUUGGAAACUCUCAAGAGCCACAUAUUAAUGCACUCUGGAGAGAGACCCCACAAAUGUGACAUUUGUGGUAAAACUUAUACUGAGGUGCGUUGGCUCAAGAGGCACGCAACGAUCCACUCAGGAAAAAGACCACACAAAUGCAAAAUUUGUGGCAAGUCUUUUACUCAGUUGGGUCAUCUUAAGAGUCAUGUACUAAUACACACUGGCAAGAGACGUAAGGAAUAUGCUACCUAAGGCAAAGAAUUUGCCCUUUCUGGUGCCCUCAAGGUCCACAUGAUAAUACAUAUUGGAGGAAGACAUUGACACCUGUGAAAAUGCUUAACAUGUCAGGAUUCUGAAGAUAUAUGCCGCAAUAUGCAGUAGAAAGAAGUUGCCGCAAUAUGCAGUAGAAAGAAGUCACAGAGAAUGUGACAGAUCCAUUUGUUUAGCUAGACAUUUCACGAAGUUGCAGUACUAAAAAUGAGAAACCAAUCACCCUAUGUGGAUUCUGUGAUUGAUACUCCUAUGUCCCUGUUGCACUUCAGAAGUUCAUCAUUGUAGAGAAAUUGCUUACCUACAUUAGUAAUUGAACAUAUCAUGCAGUAUUCAUCACUCCACAUAGUUGAAGGAAAUGUAAUGGUUUGUCAGUUAUCAUUUUAAAGAUGGGAUCUCAAGACUCAUAUUAGGCAUAGAGCAGGAAAAAAUAAAUUCAUGGCAUAUGCUUCACUCAGGUUAGUAUUUGGAGAAAGAUCACAGUAAAUUGAUGAGUGUGGUAGUUGAUACUCGGGCAUACUUACACAACAGUAGUGCCGUGUAUGUAAUGUUGUCUACAUAUGUGUACUUAUUCUGCUGAUCCUCUGUUAUGAAAUAUCUGGUAAUGGCAAAUAUAUGCUAAUGAGCCAGAACUAGAUCAUGGGAUUAAUAGUGUGUUGGCCCACCCUUGGAACACUUUGCAGCAGUCAUUCUGCAUGGUCUGAUUUCCAGAGCUAUGUUGUGCCAGAUGUCUAUACAUAGAUCACUCAGUUCCCAAAUUGUAGGCCAACUGGUUUGUGAGCACAGAACAAAUGCCAAGUUAGCUUCCCAGAUGUGUCCCACUAGGUUUGUAUCAGGUAAAUUGGGUGGCCAAUAUGUCAGUAUGAGUUGUUGCCACGAUUGGCAUUGUGACAUGAACAAUUAUCCUGGAAGAUGCUAGCAUUGUAGGGUCAGCCAUCAAGCAUGAGGGCUGUAGGUUGCUGCAGUAAUGGUCUUGUAGUCCACAGACAUCAUUGUCCUUCAGUUAUCGUUUGUCCUCUAGCAGCCCAAGUGAAUGCCCCCCAUUACAUAAUACUUCAUGCAUUGACUGUGUCUCUGGGGUGGUGCACAUUUUGAACAGGUAUUCAUCUGCAUGAUGACAUAUUUGGACAGUACUAUCAACCAGCUGUAACAAGUAAAAUCACUUAUGUGUCCAGGUGACAUUUUCAUUGGACUGUGAUGCAAUCCCAAUAAUCUUGUGCUCACUGCAGUCAUAAUUGUCAAUGUUGUUGGAUCAAAAUGGGAACAUACAGUGUUCGUAUGAUGUGGCACUGUUGUCACAUCUGCUAGUGUCACUGUUUCUGUUGCUUUACAGAGAGGAUAAGCCUCUUACCUUCACAUUCUGCAAAAAGACAUGGAUUUCUUAAUCUUUGUCACCAGUCUGUGGUUUCAGUGCCCUUGAACAACUUUUCAUGGAUGCUUACAAAACUAGCACACAAACAGCCAACAAGUUCUGUCGCUUUUCAGAUGCUCAUUCCCAGGCAGCAGGCACUAACAAUCUGCCCUUCAUCAGAGGCCGUUGUUGUGGUCUUCAGUCCAAACAUUGGUUUGAUGCAGCUCUCCACACUACUCUAUCCUGUGCAGUCUUCCUCAUCUCUGAAUAACUGUUUCAAUUUACAUCCUUCUGGAUCUGCCUAGUGUAUUCAUCUCUUGCUUCCACUCUAUGAUUUUUACUGCUCCACCUCCCUCAAGUACUAAACUGAUUACCGAGCGAGGUGGCGCAGUGGUUAGCACACUGGACUCGCAUUUGGGAGGACGACGGUUCAAUCCCGUCUCCAGCCAUCCUGAUUUAGGUUUUCCGUGAUUUCCCUAAAUCGUUUCAGGCAAAUGCCAGGAUGGUUCCUUUGAAGGGCACGGCCAAUUUCCUUCCCCAUCCUUCCCUAACCCGAGCUUGCGCUCCAUCUCUAAUGACCUCGUUGUCGACAGGACGUUAAACAACACUAACCAACCAACCUACUAAACUGAUUAUCCCUUGAUAUCUCUGAAUGUGUCCUAUCACCAAUAUUUUCUUCUAGUCAGUUUGUACCACAAAUUUUAUUUCUGCCCAAUUCUAUUGAUUACCUCCACAUUAGUUACUUUAUCUGGUCAUCUAAUCUUCAAAAUUAUUCUGUAGCACUACAUUUUGAAAGCAUCUAUUUGCUUUUUGUCUAAGCUGUUUCACAUCUGCACAAAAGCUUUUAGAAAAGACUUCCUAAUGCUUAACACUGUAUCUCAUGUUAACAAAUUUCUCCUCUGCAGGAACACUUUCCUUGCCAUUGCCAGUCUACAUUUUAUGUCCCCUCUACUUUGGCCAUCAUCAGUUAUUUUGCUGCCCAAAUAGCAAACCUCCAUCUCCCACUUGUCUCGUUUCCUAAUCUAAUUCCUGGAGCAUCAUCUGAUUUAAUUCAACUUCAUUCAGUUAUCCUUGUUUUGUCCAGUCCAUUCAGCUGUUCCUCCAAGUCCUUUGCUGUCUCUGACAGGAUUACAAUGUCACUGGCCAACCUAAAAGCUUUUAUUUCUUUUUCCUGGACUUUAAUUCGAACUCCAAAUUUUCUUUGGUUUCCUUUACUGCUUGCUCAAUGUACAGAUAGAAUAAGAUUAGGGGUAGGCUACAACCAUGUCUCACUCCCUCUCAACAACUGCUUCCCUUUUAUGCCUGUUGAUUCAUAUAACUGCCAUGUGGUUUCUGUACAAGUUGUAACCAGCCUUUUGCACCCUGUAUUUUACUCCUGCUACCUCCAAAAUUUCAGGGAGAGUAUUUCAGUCAACACUGUCAAAACCUUUUUGUCAGUGUACAAAUGCUAUAUACAUAGGUUUGCCUUUCCUUAGCCAAUCUUCUAAGCUGAAGUCAUAGGGUCAGUAUUCCCUUGAGUGUUUCUACAUUUCUCUGGAAUCCAAACUGAUCUUUCCCAAGGUCAGCUUAUACCAGUUUUUCCAUGCUUCUGUAAAGAAUUUGUGAUUGUAUUUUGCAACCAUGACCUAUAAAAUUAUAGUUUGCUGAUACUAACACCUGCUGUGUUUGGAAUUGGAUUUAUUACAUUUAUCUAUAAGGUAUGAGUGUAUUUCAUAGUCUCAUACAUCUUACUUACCAGAUGGAAGAGGUUUGUCAUUGGCUACCAGUAGUUCUGACAGAAUGUCAUCUACUCCCAAGGCUGUGUUUUGACUCCUGUCUUUCAGUGCUGAAAUUCUUCUUGCAGUAUCAUACCUCCCAUGUGAUGUUCAUCUAUGCCCUCUUCCAUUUCUAUAAUAUUUCCUUAAAGUUCAUCACAGUAUGCUCCUGCCUUUCAGCUCUCCCUUCUUUGCUUAGUACUGGAUUUCUAUCUGAGCUUUUGAUAUUUAUACAGCUGCUUUUAUUUUUUCCAAAGGCUUCUUGAAUUUUCCUGUAUGUAGUACCUAUAUUUCCUCUAGUGAUUCAUAUGAAUCCUUGUACAGGGUGACACACGGGAAAUGGACGGUGUUGAAUUGCGUAGUACUGAGGGCGUGGUGGUGGGAGGUGGUCAUGGUGGGGAUAAUUCUGAUCCACACAAGACGUCAUUUCAUGUACUCAGUCACUAUGGAGCAGUGGGGCUUGCAACAUCGAGUGUUUGUCUAUGACAGUUUCGUGAAAAGUGGUGAGCCUAUUAUUGCUACGCAGCGAUUGUUUCGUGCGCAGUUUAAAGUUGGUCAACAUGGAGCUGUUCCGAGCCGUAACACAAUCCUCAGAUAGGUGGAAAACUUCAGAUCAACUGGAAACAUACUGGAUAAGAAGCAUCCUGGUCCGAGACGCAGAGUAACGACACCAGAAAAUGUUGAAAGGGUAAGGCAAGCAGCAGUCAGAAGCCCAGGACGGUUAGCUUGAUGUCAUGCUAGUGAGUUACGAAUCAGCCGUGAAUCGGUUAGACGAAUUUUGCAUAAAAAAUUAAUAUUCCAUCCCUACAAAAUGCUCAUUGUCCAACAACUUCAGGAAACUGAUUUUGCUGUACGAGAAGACUUCACUUACAGAAUGAAAGUGAUUUUGGGAUCGAAUGAAAAUGAAAUUUUAUUGAUGAGCGAUUAAGCUCAUUUUCAUUUAAACAGGACCAUGAAUAACCAAAAACUAUGUUACUGGGCUCCAGAGCAUUCACACCUUAUCCACCAUCAUCCUCUACACUCAGAAAAAGUAACAGUCUGGUGUGCUCUUGGCUCUGUUGGCAUUGUUGGACCUUAUUUUAUUUUAUUUUUUAAGAGAAUGGGGUCACAGUUAUUGUUAAAUCAAUUUGUCACGUUCGUAUUCUUGAAACCAGAACUAAGAAGAUGACGAAUCCCUUUAAAACACAUUUGGUUCCAGCAGGAUGGGGCAACAUCGCGCACUGCAAGCACUUCAGUGACAGUUGUUGGACGCAUGUUUCCUGGCCAGAUUGUCUCACGUUUUGGCAAUGUUCCUUGGCCUCCCAGGUCUGCCAGCUUGUCAGUAUGUGACUUUUUUCUGUGGAGUUACCUUAGGAACUGUGUCUGUAACCUAAACCUCAAAAUUUGGACGAGUUGAUGAAUGCAAUCAUUCAAGAAAUUGCUGCCAUCCCUGCAGAGAUUUUAGUCCAUGUGAUGGAGGAUUUUGAGAAGAGAAAUGAUGGACAUCACCUUGACAACAUUAUUUUUCACAAAUAACUUUGUGAACUAAAAUGACAAAUAAUGACAUUUCAUUUUGUGUAAAUAAACAUGCAUUAAUUUUAAA